rnacentral:rRNA from 1 species
AGGACGAACGCUGGCGGCGUGCUUAACACAUGCAAGUCGAGCGGAAAGGCCCUUCGGGGUACUCGAGCGGCGAACGGGUGAGUAACACGUGAGUAACCUGCCCCUAGCUAUGGGAUAGCUCCGGGAAACCGGGAUUAAAUACCAGAUACGACCACUUUAGACAUCUGUCGUGGUGGAAAGGAUUCCGGCUAGGGAUGGGCUCGCGGCCUAUCAGCUUGUUGGUGGGGUAACGGCCUACCAAGGCGACGACGGGUA